rnacentral:lncRNA from 1 species
AAUUGAUAUACAUAAGGAAUUAUAGAGAUUUCAAAGGAAAACUAAGACUUUUUCUUUCCAUUUGGUAUAUGACUGUACUGAGUGAUAUCCAAAACCAUUUUGGAAUGCUACUAGAAAAUCCUAGGGGCCCUGGGCAUAGGAACAGUUUGUAUUUCAGGCUGAUCCUUUAAAGAAGUAUAGUUCACUGGGCAUGGUGGCAUAGGCCUUUAUUCCCAUCAGCUCAGGAGGCUAAGGCAAGAGGAUUGCAAGUUCAAAGCCAGCAUCUCAGCAAGACCUUGUCUCAAAUAAAGGCUGGGGAUGUGGCUUAAUGGUUAAGCUCCCUUGGAUUCAGUCCUUAAUCCCCCCAAAAAAGUGUAGUUUACUAAGCACUUGCACAUGCCUGCAGUCUGUGUUCAAGGUUGAGGCAGGAGGCUCUCAAGUUUCAUGUCAGUCUCAGUAAUUUAUCAAGACCCUUUAAAAAAUAAGAAGUACUAGCUAGGGGUAUAGAGGCACACACCUAUAACAUCAGUGCUCAGGAGCUGAAGCAGGAGGAUCAAAAGUUCAAAGUCAGCCGUAGCAAAUUAGUGAGGCCCUAAGCAACAUAAGUGACAGACACCCUGUCUCAAAGUACUGGUGAUAUAGCUAAGUGGUUUUAAUCCCCACCAUCCCACCCUAAAAAAAAGAGAGGUUAUACCUUAGGCACAUGCCUGCAAUCACAGUGGCUUGGGAAAUAGACUGGGAGAUCAUAAAUUCAAAGAUAAGUUCCUUUUAGCAAUACCUGGGGAUGUAGCUAUUUGGCUCACUGGUAUAGUACCCUUAGUAUUUGGGGGUGGAGAGAAUAGUAUUGCUUAGGUUCUGACCCUGUUAAAGGAAUGCUGUUUCUUCAAAGCUAUAGUGAGCCCUGAGAUGGGUUUCUCUUAAGUUGUUUGGGGCCUUGCUAAAUUGCCAAGGCUGGCCUUGGAAUUGGGGUUCUCCUGCCUCAUCAAGAAUUCCUUAUUAGGAUUUCAGUCUAGUGCCAUUACACCCAGGAAAGCCCUAGAUUGUAGUUUCAACUUUCUCUGGAGGAUGCUAAAGUAAUCAGCUUAACUGAAGUGUACGAUAGUUCUUAGCUUAAAUGGGGAAACUGUUAGACUCUUAUUUAUUCUCCUGGAAAGACAGUUCUAGAAGUUAAGGAUUCAUUGGCUGACUGGCAAUCCUUUUAUCUAUAAGCAUUAAGAAACUACCUUGGGCCUGGGGUUGUGGCUCACUGGUAGAGCACUAGCCACUGGGUGAGGCACUGGGUUCAGUCCUCAGCACCACAUUAAAAAAGAAAGCUAUUGUAUCCAUCUAUGACUAAGCAAA